rnacentral:lncRNA from 1 species
UUUAAGGGUUAAAAGAAAAAAAAGGGACUUUGCAUAGCCGUAAAAGCUUAAAGCAAAGGAUUCUGGAGAGGAACUAAUACAAUGCGUGGAAUCAUAUCAAUAGAAGCCAAGGAAGCUUAACUACUUACUGAUUCUUUCGGGUAUUUACUUGAACUCUUAUUCUAAGUUAUUGAUAGAUAGUCUAUAUUAUAAUUAUGUUAUGUUCAUGAUAUUGAAAAUUUAAUACCAGUGAAAGAUGUUAUGGGUAGAAUUAAAAAGAUGAUAUCGUCACUCUGUAUGGAGUGUUGCACUUGGCUUGGAUGCGAGGAUGCUCAUGAAUAAAAUCAGAUUUAUAUUCUGCACAAGCUAAUUGAUGGAUUAGUUGAGCAAAAAAAAAGAGAUUAUAAUCUACAAUAACAUGGGGAUAUCAAGGAAGAACUUAUUCCUAACAAGUUAUUAAGAAGAUACAAUAUGAGAACUUAUUAUUACUAAUCCUGCAAGUUUCCUGUACGAUUUAGUAAACGAGUAGUACAAAGAUUUUGAGAUUUGGAAGAGUAAAUUAGCAAUAGAUAUUUUUUUUAAGAAAAAAAUAAUGAUAUGAAAAGUGAAAUCAAGAUGCUGGUUAUAACCGAAAAUUCUACUGAAAGCGAAAUAGAUUAUAGAGUUCACAAGUGGUAACACUACACUUAUAUUGAUUUAUAGAUUACACAAUAAAUUGAGAUUCCAGAAUGGAAAUGAGAAAGAAUUACUAUGGAUUUUGUCACCGGUCUACCACGAACCCUUAGAGGUUAUGACUCUGUAUGGGUGAUUGUAGAUCGAUUGACAAAAUCAGCACACUUUUUGCCAGUGAAACUACAUAUGGUGGAGUAAGAUAUGCACAAAUAUUUAUGAACGAAAUUGUCCGACUUCACGGAGUUCUAGUAUCCAUCAUCUCUGAUAGAGGAUCACAAUUCACUUCACGCUUUUGAAAAUCUUUUCAAGAAGCAUUGGGUACACGAGUAGAUCUUAGUACUGCAUUUCACCCAUAGACAGAUGAGCAGUAUGAACGUACUAUAUAGAUCUUGGAGGAUAUGUUGAGAGCUUGCAUUCUUGAGUUUGGAGGUAGUUGGGACACUUAUCUACCUUUAGCUGAAUUUGCUUACAAUAAUAGCUUCCAGUCCAGUAUUCAAAUGGCACCGUACGAAGCAUUGUAUGGUAGAAGAUGUCGUUCUCCUAUCGGAUGGUUUGAAGAUGGUGAGACUAACUUAUGGGGACCCAACUUAGUACAAGAAGCUAUGGACAAAGUCCAGUUGAUCAGACAGAGAUUGCUUACAGCUCAAAGCAGAUAAAAAUCUUAUGCGGAUAAGAGAAGAAGAGACUUAGUAUUCGCAAUUGGAGACAAAGUGUUCUUACGAGUCUCUCCUACGAAAGGUGUAAUGCGGUUUGGGAAAAGAGGCAAGUUGAGCCCCAAGUUUAUAGGACCGUAUGAGAUACUAGACUGAGUGGAAGUUGAAGCUUAUCGUUUGGCACUUCCUCCUGAGUUGUCUUUUAUUCAUCCAGUGUUCCAUGUCUCAAUGCUAGAAAAUGUAUAUCAGACUCAUCUUAGGUGCUUGAAGCGCCAGCUAUACCGCUUGAUGAGAAGUUGUCUUACGAGGAGGAGCCGAUGGCUAUUGUUGAUAGACAAGUAAGGAAGCUACGGUCAAAAAAAAUUAUAUUUGUGAAAGUCCUAUGGAGAAAUCAUACCGUUGAAGAAGCUACUUGGGAAAUGAAAGAUGAUAUGCGCGUCAAAUAUCCUUAUUUAUUUCAGUCUACAGGUACAUGCUUGAGUUAAAUUCGGGAACCGAAUUUUAUAAGGUGGGAAGGAUGUAAUAGCCCAUAAAUUUUAAACAAGGACAUAUUGGUCAUUUAACAAACAAAAAAAACAAAAAACAAAAAAAUACACAAAAAAGAAAAGGGCCGAAACCCACCAGAUUACAAUCUGGCAAAAAGGAAAAGCAAAAAAAGUGAUUAAGGGAAGGGGAAGGACUCACGGCAAAUACAAAAAAGAAAAAGAAAAAUAGGGCUUUGGGUAGUAGAAGGAUUCUAACACAGGGAAAACUCAUGGGCAACAAUAAGUUAAGGAAAAAUUUGGUGAAAAGCUUGGUAGCCACUUUUGAGAACAAAAGAAAACGUGAGAUUGGCACUUUUAUUCCAUUGAAGAGCACCGGAAAAAUUCAACGAAGAGAAACUAACUAAACAAAGAAGAAGAAGAAGGGAUAUUCCUUCAAAAACUUCUCCGUUUCGUUAGUGAUUGGUAAUCAAAUAUGAUUGCUACUAAUAUUGGUGAUAUUGGAAAAAUUUACAAUGUAGUUUUGAUAGCAGUGAGUUGGGAUACUGAAAUGGGUCUUGAUAUUUCAAGUAGAAUAAGAGGGAUUUGUUGGGUUAUUAUAAUUCGACGAAUUAAGAGCCAAACAUUAAACUCUGAGGGUUGGGCAUUCUAAAUUAGUUAUGAAUUAGCCUAAACAUGGAAAUUAACAUGAGAUCGAUAUCAUGUAAUUAUAGAUUGAUUGGAGGAAGUUGUACGAAUUGCUCGAGAUGAAGUAUUUGGUAUUUCGGCACGAGUAUAGUGAGUAGUAAUCUUACCGCAAUUUGUGUUUUCAUAACUUUCAUGGUUUAUACGUUAUUUUGAAAAUAAAAUAUGUUAUCGAAUGUUUGAAAUUGCAUGUGGGACAAGUCCUUUACUUGGUAUAGUACUGAAUAGUUUACUUGCGAUUUUUACAGUUAUUUAAAAGAUUCUCAUUGUUACUAGACAUGUUUUACUGUUACUUGAGAUAUGAUUACCGUUACCGAAAUUGGAUUACAUGAUUUGAUAAGAAUUGAAAUGCCCUGUACUAUUUUAAAAAUAUUUCCAUGUGAAUAUUUAUUGUUUACAAAAAAAAAGUAUAAAUGGGAGGAGACUUUGAAGGAUCCCGUAGCUAACAGCAGGUUCGUUAGACCUGAUGCACCUUGUAUUUACAGAUUACCGAUUACAGUUAUAGUCCUCGCUAGUGGAAAGGUAGAACUAGCAUACAGAUUACAUUUAGUAGGGACCUAUAGUUAUAUUUGACUCCUUUUACGAAGGGGUCCACGCAGUGAUACAGAUUACAUGAUCCUUUCUUAGAAACCUCCCAAACAUAAAGAUUUACUACGAUACAGUAUUUACCGAGUUUAUUACUGAUUUGUUAAAUUGAUUUCUGUUACAAGAAACACAUGAAUAGACUAAUUAUAUUUAUCGUUCUGAGAGGGUAUUUUAUUUUUAUGAUAGUUUCUAAUUAUUAUUAAACAUACAUGUUUUCUGACUUGUCCCCUAUUAAAAACGGUUGUGGUUAAGUGUUAUUACUCACUGAGCUAGCGACUCACUCCCCGCUAUUUUUUUUUACAGAGAGCAGUUGUCGCAAGAGAGAAUUUCAUUAAUUAGAGUAUACAAUUUGAUAGUUUCCGGUGAGCCCCGCACUUGUUCGCAUGGGCAAAGAGUUUAUUUAUUUGCUACCGUCUUUUCUUAUGAACUCUUAGAGUCGCUCCAUAGUCAUUUUUAUUAGUGUCAUGAGUAUUCAUUCGUUAUUUUGGACUAGUUACUAGUUGUGAUGACUCAAAAUAUCAUCUUUAAAUUUAAUAAUUUAUUAUGUGUUAUAAGACCUCAAAAAGUACUAUUUAUCAUUCCUCGACUUGCGUGCGCAGUCCGUAAAAUUUUUCGAAAAGUUUUUAUGCGAAAAUGGAUUAAAUGUGAAAUAGAGCUUUAAAACUCAAUUGAGUUGACUUUGGUCAACAUUUUGAGCAAACAGACUCGGAUCAGUAUUUUGACAGUUCCGGUAGGUAUGUAUCGUGAUUUGGGACUUGGACGUAUAAUCGAAAUCAAAUUCCAAGGUCCCUAGCCCGAGAUAUGGAAUUUUGAUAAAAAAUUAAAAGUGUAAGUUCAAAUAGUGACCGGAUGUCGAAUUAUGUGCAAACGACCCCGAAAUAAAAUUUUGAUGAUUCCAACAGCUCCGUAUGGUUAUUUUGGACUUAGGAGCAUGUUCGAAAUUUUAUUUGGAAGUCCGUAGUUAAAUUAGGCUUGAAAUGGCUAAAAUAGAAAUUUAAGUUUGGAAGUUUGACCGAGGAGUUGACUUUUGAUAUCGGGGUCGGGAUUCAGUUCUUAAAAUUUUCAUAGCUCCGUUAUGUCAUUUAUGACUUGUGUGUAAAAUUUGAGGUCAAUCGGACUUGAUUUGAUAGGUUUCGAUAUCGAAUGUAGAAGUUGAAAAUUUUUAAGUUUCCUUAAGCUUGAGUUGGGGUGUGAUUUUAGUGUUGUUUGAAGUGAUUUGAGGUUUCAAAUAAGUUCGUAUGAUGUUUUAGGACUUGUUGGUGUAUUUGGUUGAGGUCCCGAGGGCCUCAAGUGAGUUUCGGAUGGUUAACAGAUCAAAAGUGGGAACUAAGCAGCUGCUGCAACAUUUAUGCUGGAAAUGCAGAAACAAAUCGAGCCAGAAAUCGAGCGUAUAAAACCGAGCCCAGAAAUCGAGCGCACAAAAUCUAGCCCAUAAAUCGAGCCAAGGAUCGAAGGCCAGGCUAGAGGGCCAUAAUCGAAGGCAAGACUCGAGGGCCAUGGUCGAAGCGGCCAUGAUCGAAGGCCCAGGAUUGAGGGCUAUGACCGAGGCCAGUGAUCGAACGCCAUGACUGAGGCCAGGAUCGAGGGCCAUAAAGAUCGAAGCCGUGAUCGAUGCCCGGGAUCGAAGGCUGCCUGGGCAGUUGUAUAAAAUAGGGGAUUUCGUCCCAUUUGCCAUUUUUGACGAACUUGAGAUUGAGCAGAAGCGAUUUUUGUCAGAUUUUCAAGGAAAAAUAUUUGGGUAAGUGAUUCUAACUCGGAUUUGGUCAAUAUACACGAAUAUAUCAUUUUUUUCACCAUUUAAUCAGUGUUUUGAGAUUGAAAUUUGGGAGACUUUUAGAAAUCUCAUAGAAAUAAAUUUUUGAGAUUUCGGUGUCGAUUAAUAGUCGGAUUUGAGUGAAAAUGGUAUGAUUGGACUCAUAAUUGAAUGAGUUAUCGGAUUUUGUAAGUUUCGCCGGAUUCCGAGACGUGGACCCCACGGGCGAUUUUUGAGCUAAUUUCGGAUUUAUUGAAAAAUAUAGUAUUUUCUUACGAAAUUGAUUUCUAUCAUUUUUGUUGAUUGUAUCGAAUUAUUUUGGCUAGAUUCGAGCCAUUGAGAGUUGGAUAAUCGAGGAAACGGCCUACUAGUGGAUUAAAUUGGAGCAAGUCAAGGUAAGUAACUUGUCUAACCUUGUGUGGGAAAAUUUUUUCCUAGGAUUGGUAUUGUUGUGAUAAAUUAAAAUGUGUUAAAAGUCGCGUACACAAGGUGACGAGUGUGUACACAGGCUAAAUGUGAAAGAUUAUGUCUUUAAAUUGUGUAAAUCAUUGUUGCAUAUCAAUUAAAUAAUUUUACCUUAUAUUAUUCUUCAUCAUUGAUUUAAAUGUUUAUUAUUUUAAAUUGCUUAAUCUUUUCCUGCUAAUUGUUUUACCUGUUUAAUUGAAACUUAGUUUCUUUUAUUCUGUGCAUUAUUUGAAGGUUGAUUUUCUUUAAAUUAAAUAUUAUUAAUAUGAAUUAUUGAAUAUUUUAAAUUUUGUAUUGAAGUAACAUAUUAAAAUUUUAAAAUAUUAUUUUGUUGAGUUAUUUAUUCUUGAAUAUUUUUGGUGAGAUUUUCUUACUCAUUAUGGUGGAGCCGUGAGCUCUUUAUUGUGAAAAAAUAUUGUUGUUGAUUUAUUUUAGCAAAUUAAAAUAUUUGGGCACUUGAGGUGCAAAUUGUGAUAUUGAUACGCAUGCAGUGGUAUAAGGUUUGGGUGUGAAACGCAUGCGGUGAGAUAAGGGUGGCUUGAUACGCGUGACUAGUAGGGGAAACUACUAGAUGUCAUGCAGUGUGAUAAGGAUGGCUAAAACGCGGGAUGCUAUUUCGGGAAAAAAAAAUAUUUUCUUUAAAAUAAAUUGUGAAGGCUCCCGCGGUGAGAUAAGAAAAUGAGAUAUUGUGAAUUUAUUUAUGAUUUGGGACUACGAGGCGGUACCUCGGGAGUGCCCUUGUUGAUAUUGAUUUAUGGCCGCAUUUGCCUUCGACUAUUUGUUGUGAUUUCUUAAAGUUGAAAGAAAUUCUGUUUUGAUUCCACGAGCUAUUAUUUGUCAUUAUUUUGUGUAAUUAAAUGGUGACAUGCUACUUGAUUCAUUUCCAUUGUCAUUUUAUUUUAUUAUAUUGUUAAACAUUUUACCAUGCAAUUAUUAUUUUCUAGUAGGGCCUGACCUGACCUUGUCACUACUCUACCGAGGUUAGGCUUUUGCACUUACUGGGUACCGCUGUGGUGUACUCAUACUACGCUUCUGCACAUCUUUUUGUGUAGAUCCAGGUACAUCUUAUCAACCUAGACAUCAGUGAGUUACCUGCGCAUAGAGACUUCGAGGUAUAUCUGCCCGCGUCCACAGACUCCGGAGUCCCCUUCUAUUCUUG